rnacentral:rRNA from 1 species
UACGUAGGGUGCAAGCGUUAAUCGGAAUUACUGGGCGUAAAGCGUGCGCAGGCGGUUGUAUAAGACAGAUGUGAAAUGCCCGGGCGUAACCUGGGAACUGCAUUUGUGACUGUACGGCUAGAGUGUGUCAGAGGGGGGUAGAAUUCCACGUGUAGCAGUGAAAUGCGUAGAGAUGUGGAGGAAUACCGAUGGCGAAGGCAGCCCCCUGGGAUAACACUGACGCUCAUGCACGAAAGCGUGGGGAGCAAACAGG